AAAGCAGCAUGGAAGAUGAAGGUGAAAGCUAAUACCGGCCAUUUCCUGCAGAAUUCUCUGGACAGCCUCAAGGACAGUGUUCUGUGGUGGCUUGUGUCAUUUCCCAGCUCAAGCCUUCCUUGUUUCUCAUGCUGCUCAUGCACCUUUUAGAGGAGUUCUUCUGGUUGUGUUUGCUGCCAUCCCCCAUUUUGGUGUUUAUGUAAGGGGGGAAAGCACCAGACUGACUUAUUACUUGACGCACUUAGAAACGCAAUAGCUCAUUAUGCUUUGACUUCAUUAUGACUAAAUGCGUGUCCUGAUUGAAACAGGAAGUUUUUGUAUGAUUUGCUUAUUCUGCAAUAUUUAUGAAUCCUUUUCUUCAAAGUAUAGACUCUGAUUGAUCUGUUCACAGCAGCCCUGUUUAAUAAAUUAUCUUUUUUACAACAGUUAUGAUAAUUGCAGACUUAGCAGUGAAACAACACAAAUUCUCCCAUUAGUUCCUACUUUGUGGAAGACUAGCCAGAAAUUGCUCAUGACCUGUGAACCAUUUCAAUUUGUCUUCAUUUAUACUAUCUCUCCAAAAACUACCCUCUGCUGCUGUCUACCACAUGUAAAGGAUAAGAUCAAAAUGAGACAGUAUUGCACUGGUAAGCCAAAAUCAGACUUGGGUUUCAAUUCAUCUUAAGGAUAAGCUUACAGACAUACGGUGUGACUGCUCAGUGGGCUUGAAAUGCUGGGGCACAUGCUGAAGAUAGGAGGAAUGUCUUCCUGAUACCAAUUUAUUGGUAAACUAAUAUUCAGUGCAAACAGAAGGGCUCUGCUGUUUGUGUAUUAUCCCCUCCCACCCUAAAAAGUAUUUUGGCUUGUCAGUGUAAAUACAUGGAUGGGAAUGGGAAGCCAGGGAAGGACUCUAUCUUUUUCAGCGUGGACAUUUGUCCUGACAUUACUCCUGGAAAGGAGGGGAAUGCACGAGUGGUCAAAGCAUAUUCUCCAUAGAGGAUGCCAAUUUGCUUACCUAUAGCAAACAGAUGUCCUUGCUGAUCUAUACUGAUCUGCUUUUCCAGACAGAGACUUACAGGUCUCUGCUGUAUUCUGUGCAUGUCUUAAUAGCAGCUUACUAUUAAUGUGUAAUCCCCAAGGCUGAUUUUUAGAAAAAUUCUGUUGCUGUCCACCAGAAAAUACUGCAUGCCAGAUGCUAAAUGUUCCUUCCUGGCAGUGUUUUAACCAGUCAUGUGCAGUUUACAUUAAUAAAGCAAGUGGUCUCCAAAACACAGCUCUGAAAUCAAAAAUUAAAACCCUUGCUUUGCAGCAGAGCAUCUUGUGCCUCCUUCAGCCACAAAUGCGGAUGGAUGCAUUUGAUCAGCAGCAACUGGCUUUGGGUUUACAUCCUGUUUUCUGUUCUGCAAAUGCCAAGUGAAGGCCUGAUUAGGAUGCUGAACAUAUUGUUAGCAAAAUCACUUAUAAAGUGAACACUUCCCCAUGCUUAUUAAGCAGUGUCUCGCUGCAUGGUGAAAUUGUCAUUACAACGCAGAGCACUGGAGCAGGGGAAGUGACAGGCAAUGCUGAAGGUCCAUCUGCCUGUCCAGUGCAUGUCUACGCUUCAGCUGGAGUCACCAGGAAGGUGGGACUUGUUGAGGUUCUAGGUUCCUGUUGACAUUCAGCUGUCAUGGCUUCGUUGCCUGCAUGCCUUACCUCCACUGACACAUUCAAGGGUACUUUAAGGCUGCCACAAAGAGCCAGUCAACUGAUACCACUGCACUCCCCCCGGUGCUUGCCUGGGACUGUUGAUACAGUCUCACAUUUAUUCAUUAGCUGAGUCACUGAAAUCGUGGCUUGCCCAAUGUCAACACAGCUCGUAACAAUGCUGGCUUAAUUGCUUAAGCCAAAAAUUUAGCUACUUCUUUUUAAAGUUCUGCAUGUUGUUCUCUAAUGAAAGUAGUUUUAUCUGCAUCUUAAUGGCAGGCCAUUUGUGCCCAAUGAAAGAUUACCUGAAGAACCCUGACAUUUAACACACUGGUUUAAAUACAGGCUGCUGCAAAGAAAAAGUAUACAGAAAACACGUAAGCAAGGGAGAAAAUGUGGGUAUUUAUUUGUUCUGAAAUGCAAUUGCUCAGAAAUAGUCUGAGCAAAUGGCAAAAAAGGGGAAAUCCUAACCUUGGGUCAGGGGAGAGACAGCGUUAAGAGCUCUUUGAGCUUUGCUGGUCCUAUAGAAAAAAACACUAAUGAACCUAUUGAAGUUUACCAAACUUUGGAUGACAACUUAAGUAGUGGUGCUUUUCUGAGAGGUGAUGGAAAAGUAUGGUGUCCUGGAAAGCAGAAAAUGUGCAUCUUUAUUAACUGCUUUCCUGCACUAUCCCUACAAAAACUGUUGACAAUUGUUUAGUCAAAAAAUGUGCUUUAAUUGUAAGCACAGUUCUUUAAUCAAAAAGUUUCAUUUUGGGAAAUGAAUUCACAUAGAAGAAAAUAUAAAACAAGGAAAGCCUGUCUGCUGUGUACUAGGAGAAACUGCUGCUUUUACAAUGAGGCUGGGGGAAAGUUUGUUUUCUUUGAAUAUCUUUUGGACACAUUUAUUUUGGUGUUUGUCUUGAUGCUUGCUCAAGGACUUGGACAACCAGAUCUCACCACCACAGUAAACUUCACCAUUGCAUCGACUGUAUAUCAAAAACUGUUGGUUGCUAAAUGGUGUAUACAAAAAUACAGGUUUUGCUGUACCA